CUUGGCUGGAGAAGUCAUUAUUUAUAGGACUAUAGACCAAGUUUCAUGUCUGAGAGGCUCUUACGUUAUUACAUAGAAACAAAAUUUUGUUAUCUAUAAGAAUGAUUUGCGUCUUUCUCCUUACGUUAGUAAUCCUAAGAAAAUAUUGAAAAUGAAUCAUUCUUUAAAACAAUUAAACAAUUUACUGAUUAUUUUCACCACUAUAUGAUGCACAUGUGCCUACCAAGAAAUCAGAUAUUUUCUUGUGUGUAGCUUCAUUCAAUAGAGUAAAAUAGAAAACUUUUAUUAUUAAUAAAAAUGUGAAAUUCCAUGUCAUAUACUAUGAUGUAUAAUCUUCUAUGCUUCAUUGUGUCUAUCCUUUAGCAUCACCAUUGACUGACUUCAAGAGUACACUUUCCCCUUACAUAGCUGUGCUAGUUGCUACAGUCUUUGAAAGAUGCUGGAAUAUAUGCCUGCUUGGCCAAUUAGUCCCCAAUAACUCUUCAGUGCCAUAGUACUGUGUGUAGAGAAAACCUCAAUGAAAAGAAAAUGGACAAUCAAGCUGGAUAAAAUACAUCCCUUAAAUGAGAACUACGCUAUGUGAAAAAAAAAUAGAAGAACAAGUCCUCAGCAAGUCAAUGAUCAUAAGAAAAACAGUUAUAUUGACUAGUUAUUUUGUGUGUUUGAUGUACAAUAUGGAGAAAUAUUAGUAGCCAAAUGAAUGUGACACAUUGACACAGAUGCAUUGUAAAUAUUAUGCUAUUGAGACCAUAGAUUCAGUUACAUUCCUCUGAUGAAUGUGGAUGCUUUCAUUUCCUGUUUUAGAAGGCAACUAACCUGAUUAAUAUCAAACUGCAAGCUCUGCCUUGUUUGCAGUAGGUGACUGCUCAAAUUGUAGUUAUUUUAGCCUCAGCUCUGAGAUAAUUUGUUUCUGUCCUGUUUUUCCCCCAACAAGUAUGGUUCAAGGUUCACAUACAGACUUGGCCAGAGUUCAUAUGCAGACUUUUAACUGCCUUCUUCCCAGGAUUUCCUCUCCAUUUUUGGGGUGGGUGGGCAGUGGGGUGCUGUGGUUGCACUGGGUCCUGUCAUCUGGUUCUUACCAACACAAAAUAUGAAGGUUUUUAAAGGAGUUUCAGUUAUUCUAAUUAUCCUGUACCUUAAGUUGUCUUUCUAAUACCUAGUGCUGGUUUCUUCUAAAUGUCAAAUCUCUUACAAAAACUGUUCUGUCUCAGGAAUUGUGUGUGUGUGAUUGUGCAUAUUCAGACUUUAUAGUUGUUACCUGCAUGACUGUCAGUCUAGUAGGAAUUCAUUCCAGCCUACUAGAAGAAAAAGUUUAUAUAUCAAUUUUGCAGAAAAAUAAUCCAAAUUGUAUAGGAUAUUACUCAAAAAGAAAACUUCGGAAAAGUUGUUUAAAUUUAUAAUCUUUUAGUUUUAAGCAAAUAUUUGUUAAACAUGCUUACUUCUCAGUUAGUGGAACAGAAGAAAAAAAAUGUAAUGUCAUCCCUGAACUCAGACACACAACACUUAAGAAAUUACAUUCAAAACAUAGGUGCUUUAACUUGAUAAGUACUUUAAAUGCAAUGCUAUAUCCAUUGUUUUCAAUGAACAUAGCAACAUUUUACAUGCACAAUAUAAUAAUGUGGUAAUUGCCAGAAAUAGUCCCUUUUUGCAAAUAUUUAAUGUAAUUCUACAGGAAAAAAUUUUAAGGCAGUAAAAUAAAAUGUAUUUCACGAUCUGCAAUGAUGUGUACCUUACUUUAGCCUUUUACUGCAACUAACUUCAGCAAAUAAAAUUUGGUGAAUAAUCUGUA
rnacentral:lncRNA from 1 species